rnacentral:rRNA from 1 species
UACAGAGGUGCCAAGCGUUAGGCGGAAUCACUGGGCUUAAAGCGUGUGUAGGCGGAUGCCUAAGUACCUUGUGAAAUCCCACGGCUCAACCGUGGAACUGCUUGGUAUACUGGGUGUCUUGAGCCAUCUAGGGGCUACCGGAACAAAUGGUGGAGCGGUGAAAUGCGUAGAUAUCAUUUGGAACGCCAAUGGUGAAAACAGGUAGCUGGGGAUGUGCUGACGCUGAGACACGAAAGCCAGGGGAGCAAACGGG